GGUCCGCUGGCGUAAUGGCAGCGCGUCUGACUACGGAUCAGGAGGUUCCAGGUUCGACCCCUGGGUGGAUCG
rnacentral:tRNA from 1 species